rnacentral:tRNA from 1 species
GCCCCUGUGGCGGAACUGGUAGACGCGCGGGAUUCAAAAUCCCGUUCCUGCAAGGGAGUGUCGGUUCGAUUCCGACUGGGGGCACCA